AUAACAACAUUCGGACCGUCGGUCUACCGAGCAAUAUCACCCGCUCGGUGGAAGAUCUUCCCUUUGUCGUAUAUC
rnacentral:pre_miRNA from 1 species